CCUACGGGGUGCAGCAGUGAGGAAUAUUGGUCAAUGGACGAGAGUCUGAACCAGCCAAGUAGCGUGAAUGAUGACUGCCCUAUGGGUUGUAAACUUCUUUUAUAUGGGAAUAAAAUGUUCCACGUGUGGGAUUUUGUAUGUACUAUAUGAAUAAGGAUCGGCUAACUCCGUGCCAGCAGCCGCGGUAAUACGGAGGAUACGAGCGUUAUCCGGAUUUAUUGGGUUUAAAGGGAGCGUAGGUGGAUUGUUAAGUCAGUUGUGAAAGUUUGCGGCUCAACCGUAAAAUUGCAGUUGAAACUGGCAGUCUUGAGUACAGUAGAGGUGGGCGGAAUUCGUGGUGUAGCGGUGAAAUGCUUAGAUAUCACGAAGAACUCCGAUUGCGAAGGCAGUUCACUGGACUGCAACUGACACUGAGGCUCGAAAGUGUGGGUAUCAAACAGGAUUAGAUACCCGGGUAGUC
rnacentral:rRNA from 1 species